GAAAAGCUCACAAAGCUACAGAUGUUUAUUUGAUUGCAGCUGUUGCUGAGAUGCAAGCUGAGGGCUGACCGUGCACAAGUUUGAACUUGUCAGCAAUCCAAACAUGAACAGAGGCCGCAUACAGACAUCUCUGUAGUUUCUGUCUCCAGCCAUUCAGGCUACGCAAAAAUGAUAAGUGAUAUAGUGAUAUAUAUAUAAAGUUAUAUAAUCUGUGACCUAAGCAGCACUUUGCAAACAUGACCCAAUGAAAGAAACAUAAUUAAACACUCCUCUUUUUGAAAUGUUCAUUGUUUGCAUGGCAGCUUCUUAAGCAUUACAGAGUCUGCUCCCUAAACAUCACAAUGAUUUAAACCAGCUUACUAUUACUUAAGAUCCACAUUCAAGAUGACCUCUUUGCUCACAUCAAGCUUUUGUAUCCACUUGAUCCAACACACAGCCAAGAAACCUGAUACACCAUUCUGUCUACCAACAACACACAGUCCCCAGAGGUGACAAUCAUAACACUUCCAAGUUACUGGAAAAAAACAUGACACACACAAUCAGAGGAGCGUUUGAAGCUGGUGGCAUCCUGCUCUCCUGAUAGUCUGAGGGAUUGAGUUACUGGUUCCAGGCAUCAAAGCGGUGAAAAAGCUGAAACAUAAGCCUGUGGAUCCCGUGUCAGGCUCAGCCCCUGGGCCCUCCAUCUGAGCCGCAGGAGAGUGGUAACCGAUAGGCCCGCAGGUAGCAGCGGUAUGACUUUAUCUGACGCCACAGCGGCCCCUGUGCUAAUUAGCUCCCAUUGUUUAUGGGGGGACUGUUUCUAAAGAGGAGCUUGGCAGCCACGCCUCACUGAUUCACCAUCAUCAUCCUCUUCAUGUACGAGUGCAAACCUUCUCAGCUGACUUAUUUAUGGAUUCUUUUGGCGUGCAGCUGUGGUUACUUUCUACUUAUUGAGACAAGGAAACCAUAAGAUGUCCUGUUUGAAGUAUUCCACAACCAUGUAGGGGACACCGCAAACAAGUGGAAGAAGGUGCUCUCAUUAGUUGAGACCAAAAAGCGACAAUAUGUGUGGUGGAAAACUAACACUGAACAUCAGCCUGAACACAGAAACCCCACUGUAAAAUAUGGCGAUGGCAGCAUCAUUCUGUGGGGCUGCUUUUCUUGAGACGGGACAGGCAAAGUUUCAGGGCUGUGAAUACUUUUGCGAGGCACUGCUGUGUGAUGGGAAGUGUGCAGCUGUGAGGCUUUUUAAGGUUCGACAACGAUGUCAGAAGGAUCCCCACAGGUUAUUUCAGACCUCUUAAACCGAGAGCAGUGCAAUCAAGCUGAGUGGAAGGGAGCAGUUCAGGAGAGUGACAGACCUGACCCAAAUCAAAUGCAUGUUACAAAUUAAGGGCUUCAAGACUUUACAGAUGUUUGCUGUUGACCAACCCCAACCCCAAGCUUUGAUUCUUCAGGUCAAGGCAAACAGCAGGCUGAAGGACCGAAAGCUAAGUCCCAUUGCCCUUAACCUAGCAUUUCAGCUAGCAUUUCAUUUCAGCUAGCAUUUCAACCAGGAGCAGCUCUCCUACUAUUCUGUAGAUUAGUAGGAGAGCUAAGGGUAAUGGAUUUGUAGCCCUUGAAUAAAGAUAUUUUUCCAAAAGCUGUCCUUGCAAAUGCACUCACAAAUAUAAAAUUUUUUUCAGUUAACAGUUUUCUGUCAUUAAUAACCACUGUAAUAAUUAGUUCAAAGUGUUCCAAUACGUUUCAUAUCACUAAUAAUUGUUCAGUAUAAAAUAAUUGAAAGAUAAAAUACACUAACUGGCCACUUUCAUAGGUACACAUUCAAGGCUGCCCUGAUUCUUAAUGGCAAGUCUUGGAAAUAUUCCUUGGAGGUUUUGGUCCAUUUGGAUAUGAUAGCAUUGUAUGGUACAUACAUAAAAUACAUAUCCAUGAAAACAAUCGCCAGUUCAGUCAUGUCAAAAAGGGGCUUUAUUGCACCAAGAUCUGGUGACUGUGGAGACCACUGGAGUACAAUGAACUCGUUUUCAUUUUCAAGCAAAUCAUUUCAGAUGUUUGGAGCUUCUUGGCAUAAUGCAUUACUCUGGUGGAAGACGCCAUCAGAAGAUGGCCUCACUGUGGUCAUAAAGGGAUGGACAAGGUCAGCAACAAUACUCAGAUAGGCCGUGGUGCUUAAACAAUGCUCAGACAGCACUAAGGGGCCCGAAGUGUGCCAAGAAAAUCUCACCGCACCAUUAAAGCACCACCAGCCAGAACCGUGGAUAUAAUGCAGGAUAUAUCCAUGCCCUUCAUUUUGUUUAAAUCAAAUUCUGACCCUAAUGUCUGAGUGUCGUUGCCAAAAUCAAGACUUGUUGGACCAGGCAAUGUCUUACUAAACUUUUAUUGUCCAGGUUUGGUGACUGUUUGAAUUGUAGCAUUAGUUUCCUGUUUUUAGCUGAAAGGACUGACACCAGGGGGCUUAUGGUGUGGGGAGAGGUAAUGGUUUCUGGUGCUGUAGUCUGUCUGCUUCAAGGUUAGACUUGUUCUGUGCUCAGAGAUGAAAUGCUGUCUACCUCGGUUGUAACGACUAGUUAUUUAACCUUAUGUUGAAAUCUAUCAUCUUGAACCAGUCUCCACUGACUUCUGACACCAACAAGGCAUUUCUGUCCAUUGCCCCUCUUUGGAUAUGUUCUCUUUGUCAGACCAUUCUCUGUAAACCUGAGAGAUGGUUGUGCAUGUAAAUCUCUGAAGAUCACCAAUUUCUGAAAAAUACUCAGACCAGCCCAUGUGGCACAAACAAAAACGCCCCAUUCAAGUCAUUCCUUGUAGAAAUAAGACACGCACAAACACCGAUGGUCAACAUACUUGUGCAUAAAUAGAUGCACAUAUUUUGUAAAGCUGACCAAGACCUCUGUGGGCUAAAAGUGCAAACAUAGCAAAGAGAGAAAGAGAGAUGGAAGCAAUGAUGGAAUGACCAGCAGACACAUAGAACCAAGAUGUUCCACCCAUUGGAUUAAACCAAGGCCGGAUCUACUUGUUUAACAUUCAAGUGUAUUGUUUCUAUUUACAGUAAUUUGAACAAGAUGCAACAUAAUCGUUUAAUUUCCGAUCGAGGUGUUUAUAUUGUGUAUGUGAUAAUAUAUCUGCAUAUAUAUUCUUUAUAGGCUCUCUGACAAAGCCUUAUUAUCACUAUCCAUUCACCACAGCCCUUUGUACAUCUGAUUCUCAGUUCAAACACCAGCAAAUGUUCACCAUGUCUAGAUUCCUAAAUGCACCUGGCAUUUGAUUGGGUGAUUUACUGUUUUUACUAACAAGCAAUUAAAGAGGUAUACCUAAUAAAGUGCCCGGUGGGUGUGUUUCUCAAUAAAAAAAAAACACAGUAAUGUCUAGAUUGAUGUAUUGUGAUGU